UGGGGAUAUAGCUCAGUUAGUAGAGUGCUUGCCUAGCAUACGCAAGACCCUGGGUUCAAUCCCAGUGAA
rnacentral:tRNA from 1 species